rnacentral:rRNA from 1 species
UACGUAGGGGGCUAGCGUUGUCCGGAAUCAUUGGGCGUAACGCGCGUGUAGGCGGCCCGGUAAGUCCGCUGUGAAAGUCGGGGGCUCAACCCUCGGAUGCCGGUGGAUACUGUCGGGCUUGAGUACGGAAGAGGCGAGUGGAAUUCCUGGUGUAGCGGUGAAAUGCGCAGAUAUCAGGAGGAACACCAAUUGCGAAGGCAGCUCGCUGGGACGUAACUGACGCUGAGACGCGAAAGCGUGGGGAGCAAACAGG